CCUACGGGAGGCAGCAGUGGGGAAUAUUGGACAAUGGGCGCAAGCCUGAUCCAGCAAUGCCGCGUGGGUGAAGAAGGCCUUCGGGUUGUAAAGCCCUUUUUCGAGACUUGCGGUACCGUAAGAAUAAGCACCGGCUAACUUCGUGCCAGCAGCCGCGGUAAUACGAAGGGUGCAAGCGUUAAUCGGAAUUACUGGGCGUAAAGCGUGCGUAGGCGGUUGCUUAAGUCAGAUGUGAAAGCCCUGGGCUCAACCUGGGAAUGGCAUUUGAAACUGGGCAGCUAGAGUGUGAUAGAGGAUGGCGGAAUUCCCGGUGUAGCGGUGAAAUGCGUAGAGAUCGGGAGGAACAUCCGUGGCGAAGGCGGCCAUCUGGAUCAAACUGACGCUGAGGCACGAAAGCGUGGGGAGCAAACAGGAUUAGAUACCCUUGUAGUC
rnacentral:rRNA from 1 species